rnacentral:snoRNA from 1 species
AAAUUCCAAAAUUUUUAUUUUUAAUAAUUUUGAUGAAAGUCAAUGGAUAAAGCAUCUCAGAUGGUUUUUUAUUCUUUUCUCUGAAUGAGAUUUCGAAUUAUACGCCCAUCUUACAACA